GGCUUUCUUUCUUUUCUUUUUCCUCUUCUUUCUUGCUCAUCAGCCACCGCUUGUGAUCGUUGUGUGCACCAAUCCAAAGGCUUCCUAUUUCUCCAAAGUUUCUGCUUUCUCAUCUGGGACAUGUGAGUAUUGGUUCUUUACCAUUGGACUUUAGUGGUGGACAACUUGCAGCUGGUGUUUCUUCACUUUUCUAUGAUGGAAAUGGUUGUGGUGCUUGCUUUCGGGUAAGAUGCAAGAACUAAGGUUUAUGCACAAAAGAGUGAUAGACGAAUGGACAGUGCAUUGAGGAGGAAGAAUGUGAUGUCAACUAAAGGAGGGAUUGGAAGGGGAAUAAAUCGCAGAUUGACACUUGUGUUAUACGAAUGAACCCUUUCUAUUUUACUUACCAAAGAUUUUUUGAUUAAUGUUCA